GGCUUGUUAGCUCAGUUGUUUAGAGCGUGGUGCUAAAAACGCCAAGGUUGUGGGUUUGAUCCCUGUACUGGCCA